CAAACGACUCUCGGCAACGGAUAUCUCGGCUCACGCAUCGAUGAAGAACGUAGCAAAAUGCGAUACUUGGUGUGAAUUGCAGAAUCCCGUGAACCAUCGAGUUUUUGAACGCAAGUUGCGCCCGAAGCCUUUUGGCCGAGGGCACGUCUGCCUGGGCGUCAUAC
rnacentral:rRNA from 1 species